rnacentral:lncRNA from 1 species
GGGAGAGUAGACCUAGAAGAUUCAAAGUGGAUAAAAGGAGCAUUUCACACCAAGUCUGCUCGAAGAAGCAAACCGUGAAGACUCAAAGUUGAUAGAAGAAUGCUUUCACACCAAGUCUGCUGGAAGAAGCAAACCGUGAAGACUCAAAGUUGAUAGAAGAAUGCUUUCACACCAAGACCGUUCGAAGAAAUAAUCCGUGAAGCCUCAUAGUUGUUAGAAGUAGACUUUCACAAUCAAGUCUGUUCGAAGGAGCAAAACUUGAAGAUGUGAAGUUGAUAAGAAUACGGAUUUCUCACCAAGAUUGUUGAAGAAACAAAUCGUGAAGGGCUGUAAUGAGUUAAACUUCACAUCGAAGCUUGAGGAAGAACAAGUCGUGAAGUAAAUCAGUAUCCGAGUAUGGACAGAAGCUAGAAGUGUCAAUCAAGAACCAUUCAAGAAUUGAGCAACAAGUCAGAAGCCAAGCUCAAGAAAGGUUAAUUGAUGGCAGGGGGAGCUUCUUUAAAAAUCGCACACCAAAACAUUGUUAAGAGUCAUGGCAAAGAGAGAAGACUCAAGGCCAUAAGCAAGACUCUACCACCAUCCGUUGAAAAGGCUGUCCUCUAAACUCUAUCUAUUUUCAUUACCCUAGUUCCAUUCAUUGCCAUUAUUCUCUAAUAGGGUCUCUUAGCUUAUGACAUUGAAAACUUUUGAUAUUCCUCAUAGCACACACUUAAUCUUUCUUCUUUAUCUCUUGUU